AUCUUCCGCAAUGGGCGAAAGCCUGACGGAGCAACGCCGCGCGAGUGAUGAAGGGUUUCGGCUCGUAAAACUCUGUUAUUGGGGAAGAACAAAUGCGUAAGUAACUGUGCAAAUCUUGACGGUACCUAAUCAGAAAGCCACGGCUAACUACGUGCCAGCAGCCGCGGGAAUACGUAGGUGUCAAGCGUUAGCCGGAAUUAUUGGGCGUAAAGCGCGCGUAGGCGGUUUCUUAAGUCUGAUGUGAAAGCCCACGGCUCAACCGUGGAGGGUCAUUGGAAACUGGGAAACUUGAGUGCAGAAGAGGAAAGUGGAAUUCCAUGUGUAGAGGUGAAAUGCGCAGAGAUAUGGAGGAACACCAGUGGCGAAGGCGACUUUCUGGUCUGUAACUGACGCUGAUGUGCGAAAGCGUGGGGAUCAAACA
rnacentral:rRNA from 1 species